rnacentral:tRNA from 1 species
GGCCACGUGGCGGAGUGGUGACGCAGCGGAUUGCAAAUCCGUGAACGCCGGUUCAAUUCCGGCCGUGGCCU